UACGUAGGGUGCGAGCGUUGUCCGGAAUUAUUGGGCGUAAAGAGCUUGUAGGCGGUUUGUCGCGUCUGCCGUGAAAAUCCGGGGCUCAACCCCGGACUUGCGGUGGGUACGGGCAGACUAGAGUGCGGUAGGGGAGACUGGAAUUCCUGGUGUAGCGGUGAAAUGCGCAGAUAUCAGGAGGAACACCGGUGGCGAAGGCGGGUCUCUGGGCCGUAACUGACGCUGAGGAGCGAAAGCAUGGGGAGCGAACAGG
rnacentral:rRNA from 1 species